rnacentral:rRNA from 1 species
AUACGGAGGGUGCAAGCGUUACUCGGAAUCACUGGGCGUAAAGCGCGCGCAGGCGGCUAUUUAAGUUGGAUGUGAAAGCCUACAGCUCAACUGUAGAACUGCAUCCAAAACUAUUUAGCUAGAGUGUGGGAGAGGAAGAUGGAAUUAGUUGUGUAGGGGUAAAAUCCGUAGAGAUAACUAGGAAUACCAAAAGCGAAGGCAAUCUUCUGGAACACUACUGACGCUGAGGCGCGAAAGCGUGGGGAGCAAACGGGAUUAGAAACCCUAGUAGUCC